GGGCGUAUGGUGUAGUGGUAUCACUCAUGCUUUGCACCAGCUACAUGUUCGUCUCAUGUGGCACCUUUGUAUGCGGUCCAGGGUUCAAACCCCUGUGCGUCCA